UGGGGAUGACGUCAAGUCAGCAUGACCUUUACUAUCCAGGGCUACACACACGCUACAAUGGUCAGUACAAUAGGUUGCCAAGCCGCGAGGCGGAGCCAAUCCUAAAAAGCUGGCCUCAGUUCAGAUUGCAGUCUGCAACUCGACUGCAUGAAGUUGGAGUUGCUAGUAAUUGCAGAUCAGCAUGCUGCAGUGAAUACGUUCCCGGGCCUU
rnacentral:rRNA from 1 species